CAAGAAAUAGUUUAUCAAAAAUAAUGCGUUGAAGGUGCAUUGAAGAGCUUGACUCUUUCUUGGC
rnacentral:tRNA from 1 species